AGCUGCAGAAGAAGCACCGGCUAACUCCGUUGCCAGCAGCCGCGGUAAUACGGAGGGUGCGAGCGUUAAUCGGAAUUACUGGGCGUAAAGCGCAUGCAGGUGGUUUGUUAAGUCAGAUGUGAAAGCCCGGGGCUCAACCUCGGAAUUGCAUUUGAAACUGGCAAACUAGAGUACUGUAGAGGGGGUAGAAUUUCAGGUGUAGCGGUGAAAUGCGUAGAGAUCUGAAGGAAUACCGGUGGCGAAGGCGGCCCCCUGGACAGAUACUGACACUCAGAUGCGAAAGCGUGGGGAGCAAACAGGAUUAGAUACCCUGGUAG
rnacentral:rRNA from 1 species